rnacentral:rRNA from 1 species
UUUCACUGAAACAAGGGAAAACAUUGGCAGCAGUAAAGAAUUUUAUGCAAUAUACGAAAGUAAGACAUAGGCAGAACCUUUGAACCUGUCAAAUUAAGUGCCAGCAGACGCGGUGAAACUUAAGGGUUUGUUUUUUAGAAAAAGCAGAAAGCGUGUAAAGGUAAAACAUUUAAAAUAAAUAGAAUUUUUUUAGUAGUGGGGCAAUGUUAAAAGAAAAAAAAGAAUUUUUUAUGUGAAGACAAUUUAUUUUUUUUCUUUAACACGAAGGUUCUGGGAGCGAACAGGAUUAGAGACCCUGGUAGUCUAUACAGUAAAAGAAAGUCGCUUGAGUAGUACGGUCGCAAGAUUAAAAUUCAAAAAACUUGGCCGUUCAUUGUUAUUUAGAGGAGCGCGUUGCUUAAUUCGAUAGCCCGCGAGUGACCUUACCAAAACUAGCUUUUUCAGGUGUUGCAUGGCCGUCGUCAAUUUAUGUUUGAUACAAUAGAUUAAACCCGAGAAAGGUUGAAGUCAGGUAUUAUUGCCCUUAUGUUUUGGGGUUCAAUGCGCUACAUUUUUUUUUUAAUAAAAAAAAAGAGUUCGGAUUGUCUUUAAAAGAGGAUCAUUAAGAGGGAUUUAAUAGUAAUUGAAAAGUAGAGCGUUUCAAUGAAUUUGCCGCAAUGUUAGUACAAAUUGCCCGUCGCCUUUACUGAGGUAAACAAAGUAGAGUAAGUCGUAACA